rnacentral:rRNA from 1 species
UACGUAGGUGGCAAGCGUUAUCCGGAUUUAUUGGGCGUAAAGGGAACGCAGGCGGUCUUUUAAGUCUGAUGUGAAAGCCUUCGGCUUAACCGGAGUAGUGCAUUGGAAACUGGGAGACUUGAGUGCAGAAGAGGAGAGUGGAACUCCAUGUGUAGCGGUGAAAUGCGUAGAUAUAUGGAGGAACACCGGUGGCGAAAGCGGCUCUCUGGCCUGUAACUGACACUGAGGCUCGAGAGCGUGGGGAGCAAACAGG